UUAACUAUAGCAUAAAAAAAUGUUUUAUUUUUACAUGAUAAAGAUAUCUAUAUUGAUUAGUUAAU